GCUGGGCAUGGUGACGCAUGCCUGUAGUCCCAGCUACUUGGGAGGCUGAGGCACAAGAAUUGUUUGAGCCCAGAAGGUGGAGGAUGCAGUGAGUCUUGGUCAUGCCACUGUACUCCAGCCUGGGCAACAGAGCAAGACUUUGUCUCAA
rfam:Gorilla gorilla gorilla genomic chromosome, chr5, whole genome shotgun sequence